rnacentral:rRNA from 1 species
UUACAACGCUGGCGGCAGGCCUAACACAUGCAAGUCGAACGGUAACAGGAAGAAGCUUGCUCUUUGCUGACGAGUGGCGGACGGGUGAGUAAUGUCUGGGAAACUGCCUGAUGGAGGGGGAUAACUACUGGAAACGGUAGCUAAUACCGCAUAACGUCGCAAGACCAAAGAGGGGGACCUUCGGGCCUCUUGCCAUCGGAUGCGCCCAGAUGGGAUUAGCUAGUAGGUGGGGUAACGGCUCACCUAGGCGACGAUCCCUAGCUGGUCUGAGAGGAUGACCAGCCACACUGGAACUGAGACACGGUCCAGACUCCUACGGGAGGCAGCAGUGGGGAAUAUUGCACAAUGGGCGCAAGCCUGAUGCAGCCAUGCCGCGUGUAUGAAGAAGGCCUCGGGUUGUAAAGUACUUUCAGCGGGGAGGAAGGGAGUAAAGUUAAUACCUUUGCUCAUUGACGUUACCCGCAGAAGAAGCACCGGCUAACUCCGUGCCAGCAGCCGCGGUAAUACGGAGGGUGCAAGCGUUAAUCGGAAUUACUGGGCGUAAAGCGCACGCAGGCGGUUUGUUAAGUCAGAUGUGAAAUCCCCGGGCUCAACCUGGGAACUGCAUCUGAUACUGGCAAGCUUGAGUCUCGUAGAGGGGGGUAGAAUUCCAGGUGUAGCGGUGAAAUGCGUAGAGAUCUGGAGGAAUACCGGUGGCGAAGGCGGCCCCCUGGACGAAGACUGACGCUCAGGUGCGAAAGCGUGGGGAGCAAACAGGAUUAGCAUACCCUGGUAGUCCACGCCGUAAACGAUGUCGACUUGGAGGUUGUGCCCUUGAGGCGUGGCUUCUGGAGCUAACGCGUUAAGUCGACCGCCUGGGGAGUACGGCCGCAAGGUUAAAACUCAAAUGAAUUGACGGGGGCCCGCACAAGCGGUGGAGCAUGUGGUUUAAUUCGAUGCAACGCGAAGAACCUUACCUGGUCUUGACAUCCACGGAAGUUUUCCGAGAUGAGAAUGUGCCUUCGGGAACCGUGAGACAGGUGCUGCAUGGCUGUCGUCAGCUCGUGUUGUGAAAUGUUGGGUUAAGUCCCGCAACGAGCGCAACCCUUAUCCUUUGUUGCCAGCGGUCCGGCCGGGAACACU